GCAAUAUAUUAAGUGCAAGAAAAUGCAGCUAUUUUUUUAUUUUUUAAUUUUUUUUUGGUACCGGGGAUUCAACUUGGGUCCUUGCGCUAUGCGCAGCAGGUGGGGAAACCACUGAGCUAAAUCCCGGGUGAAAAUGCAGCUAUUAAUACUAUAAUGUUGUAACUGGUCAUGUUCAGAGCUUGACCUGAGUGAGAUCCGCCUGAUAGUUUACCAGGACUGUGAGAGGAGGGGCAGACAAGUCUUGUUUGAUUCCAAAGCUGUUCAGAAGAUUGAAGAGGUGGCAGCUCAGGUGGAGCUGUUGGUGAGUAACCGGACAGGAGCUGACCGUGGGCUGAGACUAUUGCUCCAGGGAGUGUGCUGGUAAGUUGAGAUCUAGUAGGAUUUUGAUGCCAAAUGUGUGCAUCCAGUGUAGUAAGAAAACAGUUCUAAAAUUCAUAGAGCAGGGCUGGGGAUUUAGCUCAGUGGUUCCGUCACCUUCCUUGCAAACUCAAGGUCCUGAGUUCAAUCCCCAGUACCAAAAAAAUAAAAUAAAAUAAAAUAAAAUUCAUAGAGCAACUGAAGUGUUUGCCUGAAGGGCAGUGGAUAUAUUAUUCUAUCCAGAGUUCCUCAUACAUAUUAAAAGGCAUUAUGUAACAUCAUGUUAAAGAAAAUCAGCAUUCCUCCCUCUAGAGCUUGUUAUGCUGACAGAGCUGUCAUCCUCAAAGGGUGCCUUUGCAGCACUGAGCAAGGAAGCUUCUGUUCUCGGCCCUUUGUGGAGGGGGGUGGUGGUGAUAGGGAGAGAGGGCCUGGGAAUGUGUAGAGUGAACAGGAAAGGUAGAGUGACAUGUCCAAGAUGAGAGGAGUCUGGUCCUCCACGAGCCUUUCUGGAGAGCGCUCCAGUUGCUCCUAAAUUGUCACUGUUACACCAUUCGCUCUUUCAGUGUCUGUUCAGAUGCUUAUACAUUAAGAAUACCCAUUUGUACUCACUCUAUUCCUGUUCAGUACCUUUUACUCACAGGGGCAAGAGGGGUCCUCCCCUUUUGAUCAAGACCAUUUCUGCAAGAAGAAAGGGUGUGGAUGAAGGCAGAUUAGCUGGGCAGACUCCACAGUCCUGCACGGUGGCAUUCUGCCAGGGAGCUAAUCAUUCCAGUAGUGUGGGCUUGCUGGGUAGGUGGAGGAGCGGGCCGAGCAGUCUCCCAGCCCUGCACUGUGGGCUUUAAUGGGAGACUGGUAUCAGAAGUUUGGGCGAGCCAGCACUUAGCCUUCAUUUGGUGGCUAGGAGAUGGCUGCCUCUUAAUUUCCCUGAGUGCCUCACACAGGUGGCUUAGUUGAACACCCACAUUCUACCCUUGGGGCUGCUAAUGGUGGUGGGCAGAAUACCUUCAGUGUUUUGGGUUUUUUCCCAUAGUCAGUGAUGGUUUAAUGGGUAAACUAAACCCUAUACACUUGAACUCCUUUGUGGAUAAUACCAUUAUCCACAGAAUGUAGUACAUGAUUGGCUAAGGUAUGGAUCUGUCUAAACUCAAUAAUAAAAAUGUUUAAAGCUGUCUCAUUUAUUAUUUAGGCUAUUUAGGCAGUAUACUUAUGUUGAAAAUGGAAGCGAAUUUUUUAAUUGCUUUAAAAAAAAGUAAAUAGUAAUUAAUGAAUUUACUGUUAUACUCAAAAUCAUCUACGUUUAAGGUGAGAAUCUUUGCCAACAGAAGGGCCCUGCUCCAAACUGUGAAUGGUAUUAUGAAGAAUUGCGAUCUCUUUGUUUUUUCUUCUUGAAGAUGCUGAAGCUUCCUUCUGUAGAUACUCUGAGGGGAAAUAGUACCAUCUGGAUAUGGCUUUGAUUUAGUCUGAACCCUUGCUAGUUUGGCAUCAAACUCCAGCUGUAGUUUGAUUAUUUCAUUUUGCUUUUCUUUUUCUUGAGCUAUUAACUUUGCAUUUAACUCUGAGAUUUCCAUGUCCUUUUUCUUUAUUAGAUCCUUGUGCUUUUCUUCAUUUAAUUCAACUUUUUUCUGCACAUCUUGAUAAAGUUUGCUUAUUUCUAUCUUAUGUUCUUCCUCUUUGAUUUUCAUUUCAUGUACAAGUUGGCAAUAUUAUUAUUAUAUUCCUGUUUGUGAGAUUUGAGUAUUUCCCUUGUCAUAUCAGCUUUUCUUUUUAGCUCAUUUUCACCUCUCAAAUUGUGUUGAUAUUCAGUGGUCUGUUGUAGCCCUUUUAUCAUAUCAUGAAGAGAAGCACAUUUUUUAAAUUGAGGCUUCCUUUGUUUGGAUUAUUUUUAAUAAACAGGUACUCUUUUCCAACUGAAUUUCCAGUAUGUUAUUCUUUCCACUGGUUUCUAUCAUUUUCUUUUCUAUCUGUGAAAAACCCUUUAUAAGUUUGUCAAUACUCACCCUGCUAAUCUUCUUUGUACAUUCUUCCCUACUUUGAUCCGUGCUUAAGUUGCUGCUGUUCCUGGUUCCUCAAAGUCUCCCCCGCCUGAAUUGGCAGUCCGGUCCGGUCCACCGCUGAUUAUUGUCCCCUCCAUGGGAGGCAGUUUCCCUUUUUUUUUUUUUGGUACCAGGGAUCGAACUCGGGUCCUUGUGCUUGGGAAGCAGGCUGUGUGGAACCACUGAGCUAAAUCCCCAGCCCUCCUCAGUGGUUUAUGUUUAUUUUUUUUUGCUUGUUUUUGUUUUGUUUUGUUUUGUUUUGGUUUUGGUUUUUGAAGACAGGGCCUCAAACUGUGUAUGUCAGGCUGGCCUUGAACUCACUGUGUGGCCCAGGCUGGCCUCUCAUUUACAGCAGUCCUCCUGCCUCAGCUUCCAGUACUGGGAACACAGCCUCGAGCCAGCACAGCACACCCGGCACCUUCAGGGUUUUGUUUGUUUGUUUGGUACCAGGGACUGAACUCAGUCCUUGUGGUCCUUGUGCUGGCAGGGCACAUGGUGGAACCACUGAGCUAAAUCCCUGGCUUCCUUCAGGGUUUUUUUGAUUUGUUUUGUUUUUUGAGGCAGGGUCUCCCUUUGUAGUUCAGGCUGGCCCUGAACUCACUAUGUAGCCCAGGCUGGCCUCGAACUCACAGUGAUCUUCCUGCCUCAGCCUCCCGAGUGCUGGGAUUACAGGCGUGUGCCACCACACCCGGCUCCUUCAGGGUUUUUGAAAGGAACUGGAGUUGUUAAUAUACCAGAGCGGUGAUAAUGCUGGAAACUGGGACAUGAACUAUCUUAGAAGCAGUCCUUUAAUCAGAAAGGCCAGAGUCGGGGGUCCGUGGGCCUGCCCCGGCCUGCAGAGGAGCCCGGCAACGCUUGUGCAGUGCUUGUCUGCUGUCUCCAGUUAGAGGGCUGGGCUGUGAAGCAGGUGGGACUUUCUGUCCUCUGAGGCCCUCGGAGAGGCUGGCUUCUGCCCCAGUGGAAUUAAGUGACAGCUAGAUGUGGAGAGGGUGUUGAGGGACUGCCGUGGCUUAGGAUCAGCCCAGUGUGGCUGCCGUGGGCCAGCACACUUGGUGUCCCUGACAGUCUUCCCAUUCUCAGCCCUCAGGCGAGCCCCUGACUGCAGGCCUUCCCAUUAGACCACCAGAGGGACCCUCACGUGGGAGAUUAGCUAAGCUGCAGUUGCUUCGUGGUUUUCCAAGCAAAAGCCACACCAGGAAAAACUAGGAGGGGAGGGAGGCAAGGCUGAGCCGGAAUAGGCAGUAGCCUCACAGAAACUGCAGGGAGCAGCUGCAGGAGUGAAGACUAGUGGGGGACGCUGCGGUGAAAACCACCGCCCAGGGUGAUAUCUUUAUACUUCCACUGCACGGUGGUAAAGACUAGCCAUGCACUCCCUCCGAGACUGCGUGAUGCCUGACCUUCCAGUACCCCAAACCUUUAAUACAGACCGCAUUUCCAUCAUAUGCUUUGUGAUUCACUGUAGCUCCUGUUUUCCGGGUUUGGCUUCACCUUUCCCAAUUUCAGCCUGGUGAUUUUCCCUCCCGUUACGGUUCAAGGAGUACUAGAAGAGGCGUAUGGUUAAAACACAAACUCAGUUUGUGCAGAUUAACAGCUUUGUUUCCUGAGUUCCAUUUGCUUGGUAAACAUUUAAAUUUGAAUGUCAUCUUUCUCCUCCUCGGUUUCGUAGAUUAUGACUGUAUGUAGUAUGAAAAACCUUCUAAUAACCAAACAGAUCAAUUCUCAUUGAUGAGCAUACAGCAUGAGCGUAAGUAUAAGUAGUAAUAAGUUAAAUUAUUCAAGGAGAAUGAAGUGUUAAAAUAUAACUCACCUUUUUUUGUCUAAUACCCUUCUGCAGCAUUCCACCUUUCCAAAUACUGUAGACACUCAGGAACUAUAUCUUAGUCAUCAUUAUAAGGGGAAAAUGUAAAAGCUUUCGAUUUUUAACACAGUGCACAUACCAGAGUGGUUGGACAAAGGGGUCCUGGGUGUAGAGCGUGCUGAUGUGGCCUGCACACUUCGUAACCCUUUUCCUUGGCUCCUCUCUCAACCCAGAAAGCGGGGGAUGUCACCGGCAGGACGUCGGCCAGGAGCUGGCAAGGAAACAGCAGCAUCUCCUCCUGUAGUUCUUCGGGGGGACCUUCACACCACGUGAAGGAGCAGCUGCCAAGGUACCAGGUGAGGCAGGCUUGGCUCGGGGGUCCCUGGGCUGGAGGGGAGGUGCUGGGAUUCCACCCCAGGGCACCCCGGGAAGGCAAGGACAAGCGCUCCGCACAGCGGUCCCGAGUGUUUCGGGCCAGUGCUGCUUGGCACCUUGGCUCUUGUCUCCGUGAAAAAUGCAAUCAGGCAGAGGUGGUACAACACCCUCCUGGAUGAGGAAGGAAUAUUCCGAGUGAAGGGAAGUAUCUUGAGUUUCUUCUCCUUUGUCGGAUCCAGAAGAGUAAGCAUGUAUUUUCCAGUUUUAUUACAAGAGCUCCUAAAGGUUCUGCAAAUGCAUAUGGACAUCCUGAGAAGUUAGAAAUGAGAAGAAAGGGGUAUGUUUAUACCUGGGGUGUGUGUGAGUGUGUGUGUGGCCAUGGAAGACAGGGACUAGGGUUAUUCAAAAACAUUGACCGCCUAGCUGCUGGGAAGAAGCGAUUUAUAAAUACUGAAGAGCAAAAGGGUAGUGAUUGAUGGGACCUGUGACAUCAGAAUUCUUUUCCCGUGUACAGGCUCUUUCACUGUGUUGCUGGAAGGGCAUCACCAGCAGCCAUGGGUCCACCAGACCGAGUCACUUUCACGGUGGGAUUGGCCAGUGCGGUUCCCAUUGUGGCACGGUGCUUCCGGUCUCCAAGCAGCCUGCGGCUUAAGAAGUAGAAAGUGAGGGGCCAGGGAUUUAACUCAGUGGUUCUGCCGUUUGCCUCGCAAGCGCAAGGUCUCGAGUUUGAUCCUCAGUACCAAAAAAAAGAAGCAGAAAGUGAAAUUUUCAGCUAGUUGAGAUUCAUAGUUGGUGUAUGGCCCUUGUACCUCCAGAAAAAGCAAAUUAUAAAAUGGAGGAGUGGGUGGAAGACAUUAGGAAAAAGUAUGAAAAGCCAUUUGGUUUCUGUCUGCAUAAGUUGACGUGAGCUGUGAGCAGAGAGGAGCCUAACCUCUGCCACCAGGGCUGGUGGGUUACCCUCCUCCUCCUCCCCUGGCACCCCGUAAAAGUACGGGUGUGUGUGUGUGCGUG
ensembl:lncRNA